rnacentral:tRNA from 1 species
GCCGAAGUAGCUCAGUUGGUAGAGCAGCUGAUUUGUAAUCAGCAGGUCGGGGGUUCAAGUCCCUUCUUCGGCU